UCACAUUUUCCACGUUUCUCAGGUGCUAAGAAGUUCAAAACCAAAUAGUCUUCCCUCCAUCUCCUCUUCCGCGCCGAAGGUCGCCUCUGGCGGCGGCGGACCCCUAAAUCACCAAACAACCACGUCAAUCCAUUUUUCUCACUACCUUAAGCCUAUAUCCGUUGUCCAAAUUUCACAAAGUUUCACCAAUCAUUCAAAUCGAGGUAGACUAAGUAUGAACCCUAGGAUUCAAAUGUAAAAUUAAAUCAUGAAUCUCUGGAAUCAAAGCCCUAGAGGUUAGGGCUUUGAUUCCCUUAACCGAGUCUUACAUCACUAUAACAAGAAUGGAGCAAACCGUGAAGGGAAAGAAGACACAGAACGGAGCAAACGCACAGGUCACCAGAAUCAGGUAUUUCUUCUGAAUCUUUCUUCUCUCUGAAUCCGCUUCUUCUUUUGCUCGUAAUUAUCUUCCUCUUCUUUCUUUUUUGUUGCGAGGUCAAUCUUGAAUCUAAGAUUGAGUGUGGAUUCAUAAGGUAGAAAGAGCUCUGAGUUGAUGAAAGAAUGGAUGUUGAAGGUUGAACGAAUCUUUGUGAAGUUUCGAAUGAAUGAAGGUGAAGUUGAGAAUGAAGAGUGUGAAUUUGGGUUGAUGAAAAAUGAAGAGUGUGGUGUGAAUUGUGAAGGUUGAAUCAAAUUUAUAGGAAGGAAGUUAAUAGGAGAUUGAACUCUGUUAGUUCAGUUUGUUCAAUUGAUGCAAAGUUGGUUAGAAGUUAGUGCUGUCAUAACAUGGUUUCAAGGCAAGGUUUCAAAGUAAAGUCUCAUGGCAUGUCACUUGAUCAUUCAAGGCAUGGCAACUGACUAUACUUAGUGCAAAAGUGGGGUUUUCUUGCUCAUGAAGAAAUUGAUUAUGGAAUCACAUGGAAAGAUGCAAGAAUGAAGAUACAAUGGGGCAUUAGGGUUAGGUCAUGUAAAAAUAGGUCAGUUGACUUUGGUCAACUGGUUGGUCAAAAAGUCAAUAGUUGACCAAAUGUCAACUUUUGUAAAAAAUGUAUUUUUUUGAAUUUUCUUUUGUAUGGGUAGUGUAAAUGAUACUUUAAUGAAUGGACGUACCUUUAUUUUGAGUAGAAAUUUUUUAAAGAACAA